UCUACUUUCCCCUUGCUGUACUGUGGGUGGUUUCUCUUCUCCCGUAUUUGGAAGUUGGCCUGCCGUAUGGACAUCCCUUGUGGCUUACUGUUUAAAUUCCAGAGUCACUGUUGCGCAUUACCGUUUUCUUCGAGUGAUGUAAAUCAAAUACAGUACGAGUGAAAAAUGUGAGUCUAGCCUUGGCUAUCUGCUUUGCAAGAGACACUGUAAUUAAUGCAAAAAAUUUGUGUCAGUGGAGAAAAUAUUUCACAAGCACAGCGUGCUUUGCACAGCAUGACAUUGCUGUCUAUUGACACUCAUUUGGCAGCAGUUUGUGCACAUUUUACCACUGAGUACCAUCUACCACAGUACGUGACAGUGAAGAGUUACACAUACAGAUGGGAAAUGUUGUUGCCUUGCAUCAGGGGCAUUUUUCUAUAUGUAGAAGGGAAUCUGCAGGAAGACUCGGUAGCCCUUAAUUUUUACUACUCAUCUUCAAGCAGACUGCAGAAUACAAAUAUCCACUAGUUUCUAGUUUAGGCAUUAAAAUUUUUAUUAGUCAAGUUUUCUUCUUUGUCAGUGGAUUGAAUAAAUGAUAUUGGACACAAUAUCUUAAAUAGGAAUGUUUAAGUAUUUUACCAGUACUUAUGUUUCAUACCACGCUCCUUUAAGAGGAGGUUAAACAAUCUCUCAUUUCUGUCUCUGAAUACUCAUGUGGGUAAUAUCAUCUGUGUAAUGGGGCAUGUAUGGGAACUGCUGAGUCAUGGCCUGAACCACUGAUUGAACACCUGGGGAAAGGACCCCCUCAGCCCUGGAAGCACAGGUGAAGGCAAUUCAGCUGUGUGACUGGAAGGGGUACAGCCUGGCUGCACCUCUCUUCGACCUCACUUAAAGGCUGACUGCUACUAGGGAAGGAUCUCUUUCUAGAGAUCCCUCCUUGGUGAAGCUUUCCCCUGCAAACCUGGAAUCUUCUGAUAUGGACACGGCUCAGCACAAAGGGUCCAAGACCAGAAGCACUCUAUUUUUUUACCAGAGAACUUAGCCCAUGUGGAAGUCACACAAACAAUGAACUGUUGCAGAUUACGUGCAGGCCAGAAGGAUUGCUCUGUGUGACCAUUUUUUCGGGAUCCAUUGUUUGUUAAGAGGCACCACGGGAGAUUCACGCGGGGUAACUGCAGGUGCAGUGUCACACAGCGUUCAGUCAGCACCACGACACGCUCUGAGGGUGCAGAGUUCAUGGGUGUUAGCACGCUCAGUACCGCUGAGAGGCUGAUAUUUUAAGCAUGUCUUGAAUGCCAACGUGUAAUUUGAUUAUCCGUUAUCAAGCCUGCACUACAGGAAUUCCUCUUCCAAUAGAAAUUCGGAUAGCUCAGCACAGAAAUUUGCCGUCCGGCUUUUUCCAUAAAUAUGUACGUGCAAAAACAAAAGAGA